CGACGCCGAACAAGCGAUCGCUGGCCACUCGGCGCAAGCCGAGCGGCGGGAGGAAAGUCCGAGCACCGUAGAGCGAGAUGCCGGGUAACGCCCGGUGGCGGAAACGCCGAGGACAGUGCCACAGAAAAGAAGACCGCCUCUCUCCGAGCCGCUUGCGGCAAGGCGCGAGGUAAGGGUGAAAAGGCGGGGUAAGAGCCCACCGCGGAGUCGGUAACGGCUCCGGCACGGCAAACCCCAUCUGGUGCAAGGCCACAUAGGCAGGCGCGCCUCCGCAAGGGGGCGAAGGGUUGCUCGCCCAAGUCUGCGGGUAGGCUGCUCGAGGUGUCCGGCAACGGCCACCCUAGAGGAAUGACCGCUCUCGCCAACGGGGCGACCCUAGGUGAGACAGAACUCGGCUUAUGGAUGACGUCGACCA
rnacentral:RNase_P_RNA from 1 species